rnacentral:rRNA from 1 species
GAUGAACGCUGGCGGCGUGCCUAAUACAUGCAAGUCGAGCGAACAGAUGAGGAGCUUGCUCCUCUGACGUUAGCGGCGGACGGGUGAGUAACACGUGGAUAACCUACCUAUAAGACUGGGAUAACUUCGGGAAACCGGAGCUAAUACCGGAUAAUAUAUUGAACCGCAUGGUUCAAUAGUGAAAGACGGUUUUGCUGGCACUUAUAGAUGGAUCCGCGCCGCAUAGCUAGUUGGUAAGGUAACGGCUUACCAAGGCAACGAUGCGUAGCCGACCUGAGAGGGUGAUCGGCCACACUGGAACUGAGACACGGUCCAGACUCCUACGGGAGGCAGCAGUAGGGAAUCUUCCGCAAUGGGCGAAAGCCUGACGGAGCAACGCCGCGUGAGUGAUGAAGGUCUUCGGAUCGUAAAACUCUGUUAUUAGGGAAGAACAAAUGUGUAAGUAACUAUGCACGUCUUGACGGUACCUAAUCAGAAAGCCACGGCUAACUACGUG